rnacentral:lncRNA from 1 species
GCUUAUCCCUCUCCCCUUUUUUCCCAUCAUCGUCUGCAACAAACAGCCUAUCUCUAAGAAUCCUAAUUACGUCGCCAUAAAUUCCCUAAGCUGUUGUGGUGGCGCCGGUCACCAAACCUUACCCCAUUAACACCCUAGGCUCUCCUUCUCAUCCUCUAUCUAAAUAUAUAACUCAUUUCCUUCGAAUCACAACUCAGCUGCUCGAAUCUUGAUUUAAUGAUCAGACUCAAAACCCCAGUUCAUCCAAACUUUCCCAAAAUCACACCCUACAAUCCCCGGACUUCCUCACCCCUAAUCCCUACCUAAAUUCCUUCAAACCCCAUUGAAUUUUGAAAAAUAUUUAAUCUAGGGUUCACACGUUUUUACGCUAUUGUGAAGAUUUUCAAAUCGAUGAUUUAUAGUUAAUAUUAUAGAUCAAUUUUUUGACAAAAAAGAUGUAUAAUAUUAACAGUAAAUCAUUUUUGGACAGUUUUCUUAUGAAGUCCAAAAUCAGUAAGGUUUCUUUUCGAUCUUUACUUCUUUUUAACAUUCUCAUGAGUUUUAGGUUUUGAUUAGUUUAAUUAGUGCUCUUGAUUGUUAGCUAACUUUAUUUCAUUUGUUUUUCUGUGUUAAUAUUAGUCGAUCUUAGUCUAACUAUGUUCAUUUAAGUUAGUCUUAGCAUAAUUUUGAUUACUCAAUUGAAUCAAUUUUAUUUUCAUAGUAUUUAACUUCCAGUUUAGUUUUCAGUUUUUCGUUUGAUUCUAUUCUGAUUUCUCGUGUUCUGAUUUGGUUCUUGAAGCAUCUUCCUGGCUGUUUGGAUUUAGCUCAUUUUGGUUUUUUCUUAGUUCAAAUCUAAUUUUAGUUUAAUUCUGUAGGAUUUAUUAUGCUGAUUUUAGAUUUAAUACUUGGUAAUUGUUCUGUGUUUAGUUUGAUUCUUCUUCUUUUAAAUUAGUUUGCCUUCAUUUAGUUUAGUCUAGUGUUGAUUAAUCAGAAAUUUCUUUAGUUUGGUAAUUUGUCUUAACUAGUUUAGGUUUAGUUUGUUGGGUUAAAGUGUUAAUCUCAAUGUUGCACUAAGCCCAGCGGGCUUUGGUUGGGUAGUAAUUUCAGGGAGAAAAUAUGAGUAGUUUAGGCAUAGAAAAGGACAGUUUUAUUGAAUAGUAAUUUCCAAACAAAGGCAAGGGUCGUAUAGGUAUUGUAUGAGUAGAAGAACACCCAAGGGCCUUCUGGAAGGGCCUUUAGUGUAAGUUUCUACAUUUUUAAUGAAGCAACUUGGGUAACAAGCCACAAAUUCAAGGAUUAAUUACCAAUUUCUGAAAAUAAAAAGGGGGAAAAUGUGUGAAAGGGUGCAGAACUUUCUGCCCCGUUAUGGCUUAUAAAAGGCCGCCCUAGUACCUUCACUAAGGGAUUUUUUGGACUCCCUAGAAAUACCCAAAGUUCCAGCCAUCUGAUUCCUCCAAAAUCCUUCUAUAAUUUCCAAAUCUAUGUUUUAUUUUUGAAAUUCAAACAUUAAAAACCCCCAAAACAAUAAAAAUCAUUAGAAAACUAAAAACAAUUUAGGAGCACUGUUCCAUUGCAAAUUUUAGUCAACUUUGAGCUUCAUAUUUGAGAGUGCAUCACUUAGAGAUUCAGUAGUGUGGUUGUUUCAUUUCAAGCUGUUUGAAGAUCUAUUGGUUUUCAUUUUCUGCUGUGUUUGGGUCUGCUGUAUGAGUUUCAUUUGGGUUUCAAAUCAAUUUCGAUCUUUGAGCUAUUUCUGGGUUGGAAUUGCAUUGUCUGUUGCUGCUGUGCUAAUUUCUUCUUCUUCUUCUUCUUCUAUUGAAUUCUGCUCCCCAGGUACACAACUUGAGACUCUAUGGUUUUAACUUGACAUGGUUGAAACAUGGAAUAAACUGAGAAGGAUUCUCUUGUUGUGGAUAAACAUUCUGAUAUUUAUGUCGCUUUAAAACACUAUUCUGUGAUUCAAUUGUUUGGUUGUGAUGCUUGAAAUUCAUUAAUAAUCCUAGACUCAUUCAUAGAUGUGUAGACUAUUGAAUUAUCCUUCUAAAUAGUGAACCUGCGUUGCAACCUUAAUGUGAGUUAAUUUGAUUUCCUAGUAUAAUGUGGUGUGGUACAAAGUGGCUUGCCUCCAGUAGUAUUUUUGUUUAUAUAAGUUAAACAGUUUAUAUUCCAGUAUGCUAGCUCAUGUGUCCAGCUUUGAAAUCGUGUGUAAAUAACAUUAGUCCAAGCAGUUUAUUUUCUAUCUUUCAAUGAUAAUGAAUGGGGUUAAUUCUUAGACACCUGAAUUAUUCUUCAAUUUCUAGUUUAUUUCGCAUUUUGGGAGUAAAGCAGUAAUUGAAUAAGACACAUAGAAUAUAAAAUUCAUCUAUGCAGAUAUCAGUAGGCA